rnacentral:rRNA from 1 species
AUAGGAGGUCCAGCCUGCCCAGUGACCACAAGUUCAACGGCCGCGGUAUUUUGACCGUGCAAAGGUAGCGCAAUCACUUGUCUUUUAAAUAGAGACCUGUAUGAAUGGCCAAACGAGGGCUUAACUGUCUCCCUUUUCAAGUCAGUGAAAUUGAUCUACCCGUGCAGAAGCGGGUAUAACGAUACAAGACGAGAAGACCCUUUGGAGCUUAAGGUACAAAACUCAACCACGUCAAGCAACUUAAUAAAAAGUAAAAACUUUGUGAAACAUGAGAUUUUACCUUCGGUUGGGGCGACCGCGGAGGAAAAAAAAGCCUCCAAGUGGACCGGGACAAACUCCUAAAACCAAGAGAAACACCUCUAAGCCACAGAACAUCUGACCAAACAUGAUCCGGCCACCAGGACCGAUCAACGAACCAAGUUACCCUAGGGAUAACAGCGCAAUCCUCUCCCAGAGUCCAUAUCGACGAGAGGGUUUACGACCUCGAUGUUGGAUCAGGACAUCCUAAUGGUGCAGCCGCUAUUAAGGGUUCGUUUGUUCAACGAUUAAAGUCCUACGUG